GGGCCCGUAGCUCAAGGGCAGAGCAAACGACUCAUAAUCGUUGGGUUGAUGGUUCGAAUCCAUCCGGGCCCACCA
rnacentral:tRNA from 3 species